rnacentral:rRNA from 1 species
CAGGCUUAACACAUGCAAGUCGAGGGGCAGCAUGGCCUUAGCUUGCUAAGGCCGAUGGCGACCGGCGCACGGGUGAGUAACACGUAUCCAACCUGCCGUCUACUCUUGGACAGCCUUCUGAAAGGAAGAUUAAUACAAGAUGGCAUCAUGAGUCCGCAUGUUCACAUGAUUAAAGGUAUUCCGGUAGACGAUGGGGAUGCGUUCCAUUAGAUAGUAGGCGGGGUAACGGCCCACCUAGUCUUCGAUGGAUAGGGGUUCUGAGAGGAAGGUCCCCCACAUUGGAACUGAGACACGGUCCAAACUCCUACGGGAGGCAGCAGUGAGGAAUAUUGGUCAAUGGGCGAGAGCCUGAACCAGCCAAGUAGCGUGAAGGAUGACUGCCCUAUGGGUUGUAAACUUCUUUUAUAAAGGAAUAAAGUCGGGUAUGGAUACCCGUUUGCAUGUACUUUAUGAAUAAGGAUCGGCUAACUCCGUGCCAGCAGCCGCGGUAAUACGGAGGAUCCGAGCGUUAUCCGGAUUUAUUGGGUUUAAAGGGAGCGUAGAUGGAUGUUUAAGUCAGUUGUGAAAGUUUGCGGCUCAACCGUAAAAUUGCAGUUGAUACUGGAUAUCUUGAGUGCAGUUGAGGCAGGCGGAAUUCGUGGUGUAGCGGUGAAGUGCUUAGAUAUCACGAAGAACUCCGAUUGCGAAGGCAGCCUGCUAAGCUGCAACUGACAUUGAGGCUCGAAAGUGUGGGUAUCAAACAGGAUUAGAUACCCUGGUAGUCCACACGGUAAACGAUGAAUACUCGCUGUUUGCGAUAUACUGCAAGCGGCCAAGCGAAAGCGUUAAGUAUUCCACCUGGGGAGUACGCCGGCAACGGUGAAACUCAAAGGAAUUGACGGGGGCCCGCACAAGCGGAGGAACAUGUGGUUUAAUUCGAUGAUACGCGAGGAACCUUACCCGGGCUUAAAUUGCAGAUGAAUUACGGUGAAAGCCGUAAGCCGCAAGGCAUCUGUGAAGGUGCUGCAUGGCUGUCGUCAGCUCGUGCCGUGAGGUGUCGGCUUAAGUGCCAUAACGAGCGCAACCCUUGUUGUCAGUUACUAACAGGUUCCGCUGAGGACUCUGACAAGACUGCCAUCGUAAGAUGUGAGGAAGGUGGGGAUGACGUCAAAUCAGCACGGCCCUUACGUCCGGGGCUACACACGUGUUACAAUGGGGGGUACAGAGGGCCGCUACCACGCGAGUGGAUGCCAAUCCCCAAAACCUCUCUCAGUUCGGACUGGAGUCUGCAACCCGACUCCACGAAGCUGGAUUCGCUAGUAAUCGCGCAUCAGCCACGGCGCGGUGAAUACGUUCCCGGGCCUUGUACACACCGCCCGUCAAGCCAUGGGAGCCGGGGGUACCUGAAGUGCGUAACCGCGAGGAGCGCCCUAGGGUAAAACUGGUGACUGGGG